rnacentral:tRNA from 1 species
GGGAUUGUGGCUCAGUGGUAGAGCGCUCGCCUUGCACGUGCAAGGCCUUGAGUUCGAUCCUCAGCACCA